AAAGCAAAAACCAAACGCCGCCGCCGAGCGAGUUGUUGAAGCCGCGGAUCUUCGCGGUGCUGUCGACGAUUGAGGGCGACUGCGACGAGGAAGACAAAUACCGCCGAGCCAAAACAACUGCCCGGAAAGGUUCGCCGACAGCCGAUAGAGAUUUACGACGACAAGUGAAAUGUAAAUCGAAGCUUCCUUGAAAUUCGAUCAAAUUCAAGCCACGAAUUGCACGUACACACACCUCCCCCCGCCCCCCUUUUUUCAAACGACACACAGGAGUAUAAAUACUUUCCAUCUACUUAUCAAUCUUAACCUUUGCGCGUGGUGUCGAUUCGGGCAAAACAACGAGCGAGGUUCAGUGGCCACUCCGGGGUUUGUAGGUCGGCUGAUUCGAUCGAGGCCCAUCGUCCCGACGCCGCGCGGGAUGGACGCGGACGGCGAGCGCAGGGCCGUGCGCGAAGCGGGGCGCCUCCGACAUGCAAGCGACGUGGCACGGGGGACGACGACGCUGGGAGGGGACAGCGCUGGCCCAUGCGGACACAUACGGGAAGGACAAUCGCGAGAGGAGAGGUCAGUGACGUAGCUAUGGAGCGCGUAGGCGGUGCACGCGCACCGCUGCACCACCGCUCCGUCCUGGCGGCGACAACACAAGUUGGAAGAAAUUGGAAUGCGCCUGCAGCUGCCGGGUGUUUGCCUACCUCUUGAGCGACGAAAACGCCUGGACAUAUCACGGGGAGAAUAAUAUCUGGCAAAUACUGGCAAGAGGAGAGAACUACGUGUGCACGAAUUGUCCCGAGUGGUGUAUUAUUAUUAUGAUUACUUUUGUAGUGCACUGACAUAGACUUACAGGUUACCCAGAAUAGCUAUCUCAAAAAGAAGAUCCUGGGAAAACCGGGCCGAGUUUGCCAUUGGCGUGCACAUUUUCCAAAUGACAUGCUCUUGGUCUCCGCCACCGCCCCCCCCCGCCCUCUCUAGAACGAGGACGACCGCACGUGCAGCUGAUGCGGUGGACCAAUACGAAUGUGACCCAUGCAGGGAGAAGCGCGGGGCACAGAGGGAAUGAAACGACCGCCCUGCUCUACUCGCAUCGCUCAGGCCGCACACAAAAAACAACGGGUCGGCAAAGAACGAAUGGGGUUUUGUUUUUUGUUGUCUAACGCCACACCAUUCACACGUCCGUCAUGCUCGGCAACCGUUUUCGAAGAGGGAUGCGGACAUUGGCGGCAGGGAAGGGUUUUGUCAAACUGGAGGGGCUCUAAGAGCGAACGCGCCCAAGUUGCUCAUGUGGUGGUGGGGUCCCCAAGGUCUGCUGUCGUAAAAACGCACUGCAAGCAGAUAUCUCAACGUUAAAAUACCCCCGGAUAACGCCUCCCACUAUCGAAUUCUACUCAGUGUUUGGACCCGUCUAAAUCACUUUUUAUUUGAACCCACGGAAUUCAGUCUCAUUGGACUAGUAUGAUGUUAAAAUGACGCAGAUUAUUCUAUAACCAAAACCCCGUGCAAAUUAAAUAACCCUCCACAUAAUUGCGGAUGAUACCUUGAGUUAGCAUGCGAUAUAAUUAGGAUUUAUGUAGCAACGAACUGAAACUCCAUCUCAGGUUAUCGAUUGCCGCGUAUUUACUUAUUUCUACUUAGCAAACAUGUAUAGACUCGGGUCCUGAAGUUACCGAGUAUGUUAUUGAAAAUAAAUCGACAAGCAAACCACAAUCUGGACAUAACUCUUGAUUGUAGCAGUAUACCUUUAGCUUCAUCGAGUUCAUACGAUAUCUGACAGAAUAUAGGACGGAAAAGCAUUGAACCGUUUCGGUGGCUUUAAGUUAAUUUAAGCGAAAUGCACUCGGUCUGAGCCACGGUUUGUGGUCACGUUUGAGAGGGCGGCAAAGGAAUAGGAGGCGAGGGCUGGGAUGAGGCCUGUGCAGAACAAGCACAGAUUGGUCCUUCACUCACACUUAACGCUUAAAAGGCAGGGCUUCAUUUUUCAUGGAAUGUUUUCCCCGGGGCCCUUAACCCCCUAACCCCUAGAAAUAUUUAUCAGAGCUCAGCCCGGGACAGCUCCAUGUGAACUGAAGCCCUACUUAGAAGUAACAUCGGUUCGCUACUGAACAAAAAA